CUGUUCCUAACCUUCCAGCCCAUGCCAGGCACAUGUAUAGAGCGACCGUGACUACAGAGGAUGCUGUCAUGGCUGUCUCUGUAAUGGAGUGCUCCAUGCAGGGCGGUGCUCUUCUGGGAAAUGUAAAUGCAUUACUCACCUCAUUCCCUGCUGACCCUGAUAAGGAGUAUCAAACUUAGUGUCAGAUACUGCUGGAAGGACUGAACCUGCCAUUGCUCCUUCAGAAGGAGAUGGACAGGCUGACCAGGCUAAAGAGCAACACCUCAGAGGACUCCCCAACAACUGAUGACCAGCAUCAACUCAGAGACGCCAACUCCAUCCACAGAACACACCACCAUGAA